rnacentral:lncRNA from 1 species
AAAUUUCCAGCCCCGCAUAAACCCACAUCCCUGCAGGGGGGACGGCCUCGCCUACCGCCUGCCGAGAGUGGUCGUCUCGCGUCCCGCGCCUUCCCGGGAAGGUUUCCAGCCAGCCGAGGCGCGGGCUGCACCGCCAGUGCACGAAAGCCGGGCCGAGGGGAGCGCGGGGCUCCGGGGACGGCGAGUGCCGAGAGCGCGCGGGGACCCGGGGGACCCGAAACCCAGCGCUGACGGCGGUGUCUUUCUGCUCCUCUCCAGCGUUCCAGCUCGGUUUCCCCCUCCCUGCCUCCCUCCCCCUUUCUCUCUCUCCCCCCUCAGCUCCUACUCAGGGUAGGGUGUGUCGUGACGUCACAGAGAUUCCGCCCAACUCCGCUGCACGUGGCGGGCGUGGGCAGCCGAGCAGAGCGGAGCUGCGCGGGGGCGAGCGGGGAGUGCCCAGGACUACCGCGAAGGGGCAGGGGAGGCCGUGGCCGGGGGCGCAGAGUCGGAACCCGAGAAAAAGCCCGGAGGAGAGCGAAAGGAGGAGAGGGAGCUGGGCAGGGCGCUGGGACAGGAGCUGUUCGCGCAGCAGGCGCAGGCCCGUCCACUGUGGAAGGAGGGCGAGAGGGAACAUGUGUGAACUCCUGAAACAGCUGAGAACCUGCUGUGCCCCAGGAAUUGAGAGCAACUGGAUGGCAG